CCGUGCUGCCACCUGGAAAAAACUUAGUAGCGUCAAAUCGUAAAAAGCUAAACUCGGUUUAGCUUUUUAUGCUGAGGGUGGAGCGUCAAUUUACAAAUAAUAUAAUCGAACUCGAAAAUAAUCGAUUUUGACAAAGUUUAAGAAGCCAAAUUAUUUAUUUCUGUGUUAAAUAAAUGUCUGUUUGAAUAUUGAAUAAAUAUAGAAUAAUAUUAAUUUUAGAAGGCAAAUGCAAUGGCACUGUUUGAAGAUUUCGUCGAUAGUAUGAAGAAAGAGUUGGGAAGACGGCUUCGAAAAAUCCAUGCUCUCGUCGUAAUUUAAAUAAAGGAUGGAUCCAAAAUUUCUUUGGUGUAUAUUUUUUUUUAGAUCUCUGGAUAACUAUUUCAUUGCAUAAUAAAGCACAUAUGAUCCUUUUACGUCGAAUUUUUUUUUUAUUUGCGCUUGACGAAUUAUUUUUUGACACUGAUAAAUCCACAAUUGAUAAUCAUAUUCAUCUGCCAUUGAAAUUUCGAUAAGUCACUUAAAUUUGAUGUUAAGAACUAGCUUCUAGCUAGGUGGAGCUAUAGUUUGACGCUCAAAGCUAG
rnacentral:lncRNA from 1 species